UUGAACGCUGGCGGCAGGCCUAACACAUGCAAGUCGAACGGUAACAGGAAGAAGCUUGCUUCUUUGCUGACGAGUGGCGGACGGGUGAGUAAUGUCUGGGAAACUGCCUGAUGGAGGGGGAUAACUACUGGAAACGGUAGCUAAUACCGCAUAACGUCGCAAGACCAAAGAGGGGGACCUUCGGGCCUCUUGCCAUCGGAUGUGCCCAGAUGGGAUUAGCUAGUAGGUGGGGUAACGGCUCACCUAGGCGACGAUCCCUAGCUGGUCUGAGAGGAUGACCAGCCACACUGGAACUGAGACACGGUCCAGACUCCUACGGGAGGCAGCAGUGGGGAAUAUUGCACAAUGGGCGCAAGCCUGAUGCAGCCAUGCCGCGUGUAUGAAGAAGGCCUUCGGGUUGUAAAGUACUUUCAGCGGGGAGGAAGGGAGUAAAGUUAAUACCUUUGCUCAUUGACGUUACCCGCAGAAGAAGCACCGGCUAACUCCGUGCCAGCAGCCGCGGUAAUACGGAGGGUGCAAGCGUUAAUCGGAAUUACUGGGCGUAAAGCGCACGCAGGCGGUUUGUUAAGUCAGAUGUGAAAUCCCCGGGCUCAACCUGGGAACUGCAUCUGAUACUGGCAAGCUUGAGUCUCGUAGAGGGGGGUAGAAUUCCAGGUGUAGCGGUGAAAUGCGUAGAGAUCUGGAGGAAUACCGGUGGCGAAGGCGGCCCCCUGGACGAAGACUGACGCUCAGGUGCGAAAGCGUGGGGAGCAAACAGGAUUAGAUGCCCUGGUAGUCCACGCCGUAAACGAUGUCGACUUGGAGGUUGUGCCCUUGAGGCGUGGCUUCCGGAGCUAACGCGUUAAGUCGACCGCCUGGGGAGUACGGCCGCAAGGUUAAAACUCAAAUGAAUUGACGGGGGCCCGCACAAGCGGUGGAGCAUGUGGUUUAAUUCGAUGCAACGCGAAGAACCUUACCUGGUCUUGACAUCCACGGAAGUUUUCAGAGAUGAGAAUGUGCCUUCGGGAACCGUGAGACAGGUGCUGCAUGGCUGUCGUCAGCUCGUGUUGUGAAAUGUUGGGUUAAGUCCCGCAACGAGCGCAACCCUUAUCCUUUGUUGCCAGCGGUCCGGCCGGGAACUCAAAGGAGACUGCCAGUGAUAAACUGGAGGAAGGUGGGGAUGACGUCAAGUCAUCAUGGCCCUUACGACCAGGGCUACACACGUGCUACAAUGGCGCAUACAAAGAGAAGCGACCUCGCGAGAGCAAGCGGACCUCAUAAAGUGCGUCGUAGUCCGGAUUGGAGUCUGCAACUCGACUCCAUGAAGUCGGAAUCGCUAGUAAUCGUGGAUCAGAAUGCCACGGUGAAUACGUUCCCGGGCCUUGUACACACCGCCCGUCACACCAUGGGAGUGGGUUGCAAAAGAAGUAGGUAGCUUAACCUUCGGGAGGGCGCUUACCACUUUGUGAUUCAUGACUGGGGUG
rnacentral:rRNA from 1 species